UGGGGAAUCUUGGACAAUGGGCGCAAGCCUGAUCCAGCCAUGCCGCGUGAGUGAUGAAGGCCUUAGGGUUGUAAAGCUCUUUUUGCCGGGGACGAUAAUGACGGUACCCGGAGAAUAAGUCCCGGCUAACUUCGUGCCAGCAGCCGCGGUAAUACGAAGGGGACUAGCGUUGUUCGGAAUCACUGGGCGUAAAGCGCACGUAGGCGGAUUUGUAAGUCAGGGGUGAAAUCCCGGGGCUCAACCUCGGAACUGCCUUUGAUACUGCGGAUCUCGAGUCCGAUAGAGGUGAGUGGAAUUCCUAGUGUAGAGGUGAAAUUCGUAGAUAUUAGGAAGAACACCGGUGGCGAAGGCGGCUCACUGGAUCGGUACUGACGCUGAGGUGCGAAAGCGUGGGGAGCAAACAGGAUUAGAUACCCAAGUAGUCCCUGAGCGGGCUGGCAAGGCGCAU
rnacentral:rRNA from 1 species